CAGAUUCAGGGCCAUCUUCCUGCAAGCGCUGGAGGUGCAUGACAUCUUUGUACCUCACUUUUCAGGUCAUAACAGCAUGCGCCAUCCUCCACAACAUCUGCCUUGGUGCUGGGGAUGUCAUGGCCCUAGAAGAUGACCCAGAGGAGCCUGUAGAAGAGGGUGAGGUUUGGACUGAGACAGUCAGCGUUGCUCUCUGGUGGGACCAGCUUUCAGCUGAGGUGUCUGCCCUGGAGGAGAUUACCUCUUAGUGAUGUGACAGCCGUCAAUUCAGCCAGCCCUUUAAACCCACUU